rnacentral:rRNA from 1 species
GAUGAACGCUGGCGGCGUGCCUAAUACAUGCAAGUCGAGCGAACAGACGAGGAGCUUGCUCCUCUGACGUUAGCGGCGGACGGGUGAGUAACACGUGGAUAACCUACCUAUAAGACUGGGAUAACUUCGGGAAACCGGAGCUAAUACCGGAUAAUAUGUUGAAUCGCAUGGUUCAACAGUGAAAGACGGUCUUGCUGUCACUUAUAGAUGGAUCCGCGCCGCAUUAGCUAGUUGGUAAGGUAACGGCUUACCAAGGCAACGAUGCGUAGCCGACCUGAGAGGGUGAUCGGCCACACUAGAACUGAGACACGGUCCAGACUCCUACGGGAGGCAGCAGUAGGGAAUCUUCCGCAAUGGGCGAAAGCCUGACGGAGCAAAGCCGCGUGAGUGAAGAAGGUCUUCGGAUCGUAAAACUCUGUUAUUAGGGAAGAACAAAUGUGUAAGUAACUAUGCACGUCUUGACGGUACCUAAUCAGAAAGCCACGGCUAACUACGUG